UNCCGNUAANAUCCUGCCUUUNAANAGGCGGUGAUCAAGCUGGGGAUCGCAAGACCUAGCACUCGAAGAGGGGCCCGCGUCCGAUUAGCUAGUUGGUGGGGUAAUGGCCCACCAAGGCAACGAUCGGUAGCCGGCCUGAGAGGGCGGACGGCCACACUGGGACUGAGACACGGCCCAGACUCCUACGGGAGGCAGCAGUGGGGAAUUGUUCGCAAUGGGCGCAAGCCUGACGACGCAACGCCGCGUGGAGGAUGAAGAUCUUCGGGUCGUAAACUCCUUUCGAUCGAGACGAAUUCCUCCGGGAUGAACAAUCCCGGAGGUUGACGGUACCGAGAGAAGAAGCCCCCGGCUAACUCCGUGCCAGCAGCCGCGGUAAUACGGGGGGGCAAGCGUUGUUCGGAAUUACUGGGCGUAAGGGCCUCGUANGUGGCCNACUAAGUCGGACGUGAAUCCCUCGGCUUAACCGGGGAACUGCGUCCGAUACUUGGUUGNCUUGAUUUGGNAAAGGGAUGCGNAUUUCNGGUGUACCGGUUGAAAUGCGUAAAUUNUGGAGAACNCGGUGGNGANGCGGCAUCCUGGACAAUACUGACCCUGAAGAACAAAGCNAGGGAACCAACGGGAUUAAUUCCCGGNAUCCUGGCCUAACANUAAUNUUGNNUGCGGUUNAUCCUGCGNGCCAANUAACNUUAAAAUCCCCUGGGAAAAGGCCCUAAACGAUGAAUGCUUGGUGUGGCGGGUAUCGAUCCCUGCCGUGCCGAAGCUAACGCAUUAAGCAUUCCGCCUGGGGGAGUACGGUCGCAAGAUUAAAACUCAAAGGAAUUGACGGGGGCCUGCACCAANCGGUGGAGCAUG
rnacentral:rRNA from 1 species